AGAUGCGAUGGGGAGCGUCUGGAAACAGACGCGAAGGGGCUGGCACUAAACUGUCGAGAAAAGCUUCUAGUGAGGAAUCAGGCACCCGUACCGAAACCGACACAGGUAGGCAGGAUGAGAAUUCUAAGGUGCGCGGGAAAACCCUCGUUAAGGAACUCGGCAAAAUGUAUCCGUAACUUCGGGAAAAGGAUAACCCGGCGUACGUGAAGUGCAGAAGCGCACGGAGCGGAACCGGGUGGCAGAAGAGAGGCCCAAGCGACUGUUUACCACAAACACAGGCGUCUGCUAAAGCGAAAGCUGAUGUAUAGAUGCUGACACCUGCCCGGUGCUGGAAGGUUAAGAGGAAGUGUUAGCGCAAGCGAAGCAGUGAAUUGAAGCCCCAGUAAACGGCGGCCGUAACUAUAACGGUCCUAAGGUAGCGAAAUUCCUUGUCGGGUAAGUUCCGACCCGCACGAAAGGUGUAACGAUUUGGGCACUGUCUCAACGAGGGACCCGGUGAAAUUGAAGUACCUGUGAAGAUGCAGGUUACCCGCGACUGGACAGAAAGACCCCAUGGAGCUUUACUGUAACCUGAGAUUGGAUUCCGGUAAGAGAUGUACAGGAUAGUUGGGAGACGUAGAAGCAAGUACGCCAGUAUUUGCAGAGUCAAUGGUGGGAUACCAACCUUGUUUUAUUGGAAUUCUAACGAGAAGCCUAACAAGCUUGCGGACAGUCUCAGGCGGGCAGUUUGACUGGGGCGGUCGCCUCCGAAAGAGUAACGGAGGCGCCCAAAGGUUCCCUCAGCGCGGACGGAAACCGCGCGAAGAGUGCAAAGGCAGAAGGGAGCUUGACUGCGAGACGGACAGGUCGAGCAGGGACGAAAGUCGGGCUUAGUGAUCCGGUGGUAGAGAGUGGAAUUGCCAUCGCUCAACGGAUAAAAGCUACCCUGGGGAUAACAGGCUUAUCUCUCCCAAGAGUCCAUAUCGACGGGGAGGUUUGGCACCUCGAUGUCGGCUCAUCACAUCCUGGGGCUGAAGUAGGUCCCAAGGGUUGGGCUGUUCGCCCAUUAAAGUGGUACGCGAGCUGGGUUCAGAACGUCGUGAGACAGUUCGGUCCCUAUCCAUCGCGGGCGGAAGAAACUUGAAAGGGGCUGCUCCUAGUACGAGAGGACCGGAGUGGACCGACCAAUGGUGUACCAGUCAUGGCGCCAGCCGUGCAGCUGGGUAGCUACGUCGGGGACGGAUAAACGCUGAAAGCAUCUAAGCGUGAAACCAGCCUAAAGAUGAGGUUUCUCAUUGUGAAAACAAGUAAGGUCCCACAAAGACGAUGUGGUUGAUAGGCCGGGAGUGGAAGUACAGCGAUGUAUGGAGCGGACCGGUACUAAUAGACCGAGGACUUGACU
rnacentral:rRNA from 1 species